GGUUAAGCGACUAAGCGUACACGGUGGAUGCCCUGGCAGUCAGAGGCGAUGAAGGACGUGCUAAUCUGCGAUAAGCGUCGGUGAGGUGAUAUGAACCGUUAUAACCGGCGAUUUCCGAAUGGGGAAACCCAGUGUGUUUCGACACACUAUCAUUAACUGAAUCCAUAGGUUAAUGAGGCGAACCGGGGGAACUGAAACAUCUAAGUACCCCGAGGAAAAGAAAUCAACCGAGAUUCCCCCAGUAGCGGCGAGCGAACGGGGAGGAGCCCAGAGCCUGAAUCAGUGUGUGUGUUAGUGGAAGCGUCUGGAAAGGCGUGCGAUACAGGGUGACAGCCCCGUACACAAAAAUGCACAUAUUGUGAGCUCGAUGAGUAGGGCGGGACACGUGGUAUCCUGUCUGAAUAUGGGGGGACCAUCCUCCAAGGCUAAAUACUCCUGACUGACCGAUAGUGAACCAGUACCGUGAGGGAAAGGCGAAAAGAACCCCGGCGAGGGGAGUGAAAAAGAACCUGAAACCGUGUACGUACAAGCAGUGGGAGCCUCUUAAUGGGGUGACUGCGUACCUUUUGUAUAAUGGGUCAGCGACUUAUAUUCUGUAGCAAGGUUAACCGAAUAGGGGAGCCGAAGGGAAACCGAGUCUUAACUGGGCGUUAAGUUGCAGGGUAUAGACCCGAAACCCGGUGAUCUAGCCAUGGGCAGGUUGAAGGUUGGGUAACACUAACUGGAGGACCGAACCGACUAAUGUUGAAAAAUUAGCGGAUGACUUGUGGCUGGGGGUGAAAGGCCAAUCAAACCGGGAGAUAGCUGGUUCUCCCCGAAAGCUAUUUAGGUAGCGCCUCGUGAAUUCAUCUCCGGGGGUAGAGCACUGUUUCGGCAAGGGGGUCAUCCCGACUUACCAACCCGAUGCAAACUGCGAAUACCGGAGAAUGUUAUCACGGGAGACACACGGCGGGUGCUAACGUCCGUCGUGAAGAGGGAAACAACCCAGACCGCCAGCUAAGGUCCCAAAGUCAUGGUUAAGUGGGAAACGAUGUGGGAAGGCCCAGACAGCCAGGAUGUUGGCUUAGAAGCAGCCAUCAUUUAAAGAAAGCGUAAUAGCUCACUGGUCGAGUCGGCCUGCGCGGAAGAUGUAACGGGGCUAAACCAUGCACCGAAGCUGCGGCAGCGACACUAUGUGUUGUUGGGUAGGGGAGCGUUCUGUAAGCCUGUGAAGGUGGCCUGUGAGGGUUGCUGGAGGUAUCAGAAGUGCGAAUGCUGACAUAAGUAACGAUAAAGCGGGUGAAAAGCCCGCUCGCCGGAAGACCAAGGGUUCCUGUCCAACGUUAAUCGGGGCAGGGUGAGUCGACCCCUAAGGCGAGGCCGAAAGGCGUAGUCGAUGGGAAACAGGUUAAUAUUCCUGUACUUGGUGUUACUGCGAAGGGGGGACGGAGAAGGCUAUGUUGGCCGGGCGACGGUUGUCCCGGUUUAAGCGUGUAGGCUGGUUUUCCAGGCAAAUCCGGAAAACCAAGGCUGAGGCGUGAUGACGAAGCACUACGGUGCUGAAGCGACAAAUGCCCUGCUUCCAGGAAAAGCCUCUAAGCAUCAGGUAACAUCAAAUCGUACCCCAAACCGACACAGGUGGUCAGGUAGAGAAUACCAAGGCGCUUGAGAGAACUCGGGUGAAGGAACUAGGCAAAAUGGUGCCGUAACUUCGGGAGAAGGCACGCUGAUAUGUAGGUGAAGCGACUUGCUCGUGGAGCUGAAAUCAGUCGAAGAUACCAGCUGGCUGCAACUGUUUAUUAAAAACACAGCACUGUGCAAACACGAAAGUGGACGUAUACGGUGUGACGCCUGCCCGGUGCCGGAAGGUUAAUUGAUGGGGUUAGCGGCAACGCGAAGCUCUUGAUCGAAGCCCCGGUAAACGGCGGCCGUAACUAUAACGGUCCUAAGGUAGCGAAAUUCCUUGUCGGGUAAGUUCCGACCUGCACGAAUGGCGUAAUGAUGGCCAGGCUGUCUCCACCCGAGACUCAGUGAAAUUGAACUCGCUGUGAAGAUGCAGUGUACCCGCGGCAAGACGGAAAGACCCCGUGAACCUUUACUAUAGCUUGACACUGAACAUUGAGCCUUGAUGUGUAGGAUAGGUGGGAGGCUUUGAAGUGUGGACGCCAGUCUGCAUGGAGCCGACCUUGAAAUACCACCCUUUAAUGUUUGAUGUUCUAACGUUGGCCCGUAAUCCGGGUUGCGGACAGUGUCUGGUGGGUAGUUUGACUGGGGCGGUCUCCUCCUAAAGAGUAACGGAGGAGCACGAAGGUUGGCUAAUCCUGGUCGGACAUCAGGAGGUUAGUGCAAUGGCAUAAGCCAGCUUGACUGCGAGCGUGACGGCGCGAGCAGGUGCGAAAGCAGGUCAUAGUGAUCCGGUGGUUCUGAAUGGAAGGGCCAUCGCUCAACGGAUAAAAGGUACUCCGGGGAUAACAGGCUGAUACCGCCCAAGAGUUCAUAUCGACGGCGGUGUUUGGCACCUCGAUGUCGGCUCAUCACAUCCUGGGGCUGAAGUAGGUCCCAAGGGUAUGGCUGUUCGCCAUUUAAAGUGGUACGCGAGCUGGGUUUAGAACGUCGUGAGACAGUUCGGUCCCUAUCUGCCGUGGGCGCUGGAGAACUGAGGGGGGCUGCUCCUAGUACGAGAGGACCGGAGUGGACGCAUCACUGGUGUUCGGGUUGUCAUGCCAAUGGCACUGCCCGGUAGCUAAAUGCGGAAGAGAUAAGUGCUGAAAGCAUCUAAGCACGAAACUUGCCCCGAGAUGAGUUCUCCCUGAGACUUAGAGUCUCCUGAAGGAACGUUGAAGACGACGACGUUGAUAGGCCGGGUGUGUAAGCGCAGCGAUGCGUUGAGCUAACCGGUACUAAUGAACCGUGAGGCUUAACCUU
rnacentral:rRNA from 1 species